rnacentral:lncRNA from 1 species
GGGUGUGGUUCCAUGGCAUGAAAAAGAGGAGGAGAGUCCUCUCUCUUUAGGUUAGCACAAAGGCUGUUUUUUAGGGUUUCUUCCUUUGGGUUUGGGAGAGAGAAAAAGAAAAGAAAAAAAUUAUUUUCUUCUCCAUCUUUCUUCCACCUCUUCAUCUCCUCCAGAAAUCUAUCUUCAACUUUUGAAAAGUUUCAGAGAUUUGAAGAAGGGAUCCAGAUCAACCAAGAAGAAGGUCUUCGUACAAGCUAGCACUCUCGAGAAGAUC